UGGUUUAUGGACUGGUGCCCUUGCAGCCCUAAAUUCAGCUCAGGUAUUCUUCUUCUUCUUCAAUCUUUCACGCCAAAGAAUUGCUCAGCACAACCCACCCCCUUAUGCGCACCGCCUUCCUGCCGCCGCGGCUUCCACCUUCUUUGUUCCAUAACCACUCUAUUUCAUAGCCGCAGGCCGCGCGGCACUCUUCGUUCCAUAAAUUGCGUUGAACAACCGGCAGCUCCUACUAAAUUGAGGUACAUUUCCGGCUACCCUCCUCCCUAACUUGUACACUGCCUUUACAUUUUCUGUUAGCUGUUAGAGUAUUUGAAUAUGUAUGAAUUUCUGGAAGCAUGCUUAUUUUCAUGGAAGAAUGUGUAAUGCUAGUAGAUAAGAAGGGCCUUUUUCAAUCAUUACCUCAAAUUCUUCCGUUUCUUGGAAAAGUCAUGGUGGUGGUUUUCGAAUCUGCGUGUGCAGAAUUGGUGAGCUAGUUCCUUUUCUGUUAUCCGUCUUGAAUAUGUUGCUAUUUUAACAGUCUGGGAGUGUACAAGCACUAUGGCAGGUUCUGAUUCACGAAAGGAGAUGUACGGAAAUACUAAUGAAAUGCCACUGGAAGAUUUAUUGGAUGGCACUUUAGGGAGGACGAGACCGAUGAGUUAUGAUGAGAUAAUGCUUAGAAGAAAAAAGAAGGGAGAUGCUGCUCAACAGGUUUCCAGUAGCUCUGAAGCACCUGGUAGUGAAUUAGCACAAGACAACAUAGAAAGGGCAUCUGAUGUUCCAGAAGUUCAUUCCCGAAUAUUUGAUGAUUCAAAACCACCGGUUGAAAGCAGAAACAUAAAUGAUACUGUGAAGGCAAGGUCUGGGAGAAAAGUGGAUACUAAUGCCACUAGAAAGAAUGAGAAAUUAGUCCAGGAUAAUGAUGACCGAUCUCUAUAUCCUGAUGCUAAGUCAAAGGAGAAAGGAGACGGGAUUCUGAGACACAGUAGAGUGUCAGAUGAAAAUUUUGACUGAAGAAGUCAUGGCAGCCGAAAAAAAAAGAUGACCUCUUAAGUGUUAAUUCUGAUAACGGACGUGACAAGAGGAAAGAUAGUGAAUCAUAUAAACAGGAUAGAAUUUCUGAAAGAAGCAGAGUCAAAUCUGAAAUAGUAAAAGCAAAACCACUUAAUGAGGAGACUGGAGAGACAGGUUGACAGAAAGAGGAAACCAGAUGACCGGAUAGGCAGUGAUUCUGAUAAUGAGCAUAAGAAAAGAAACGUAAGAGAUGUUAGGCAGAUAGAGAACUUACCUGCUAGGGGCAGAGAUAAAUCUGUCAAGGAAAAGAAACACAAACACCAUCCCGAGGAAGAUAAAUCUAGGGGCAGGGAUAAUGUUAAAAUGAAUGAUUCUGUAAGGAAAGGAUCAGAACAAACAAGGAGCUAUCUUGAAGAAUCCAGGUCGAAAAGAAGACGGUCACGGAGCAAAGAUCGCGAGAAAGACAGAGGUAGAAGAUCUCUUUCACAAUCACCAAAGGCUUACAAGCACACAUUGAAAGAUAAGAGGGAGCUUGCAGAACCAUCAUCCCAUUCUACAAAAGACAAAUCAGGAAGAGAGCACUCUAAUACUGAUAACAAGUGGACACCCAGUAAUGGAUCUAAUAGCCACUACAGGCGUAAUACUAACAAUUCAAGUGGUCUUGGAGGCUAUUCACCCAGAAAGAGGAAAACAGAGGCUGCUGCUAAAACACCUUCCCCAAUCCGUCGUUCUCCAGAGAAAAGAGCUGCUGGAUGGGAUUUACAGCCUGUUGAAAAAGAGUGUGAUGGCUACAUCAACUCUGUUCAAUUUGAAUGCUAUGAGCCAAAAAUCAUUAUCGUAUAAUAUGGAGUACCCCACUAUAACUCCUACUGUGGUGAAGCCGAUUGGAAUUUCACUCCAUACCAUAUCUUCACAGCUGCAUGCUGUUGAGUCAAUUCAGCUAACUCAAGCGACAAGACCUAAGAUGAGGCUUUACAUAGAAAACUUGCCUCUUUCAGCAUCUGAGAAAGAUUUAACAGAAUGCAUUAACAAGCGCUUGCUGUCAUCUGGUGUUAACUAUGUUCCGGGAACCCAGCCCUGUAUUGGCUGUAUAAUACAUAAGGAGAAAAGCCAAGCUCUUUUGGAGUUUCUGACCCUGAGGAUGCUUCUGCUGCUCUCUCUUUAGAUGGAAUAUCCUUUUCUGGUUCCAAUCUUAAUUCUUAAACUCGUGCCCAAAGGACUAUGCUAAUGUAACUACUGGGUCUUCUGACAAAUCUGUGCCUGAUGUUGUUUCAAUCAGUGGCAUCGUAGAAGAUUCACCCCACAAGGUAUGCUCUGAAACAUCAUACCAUCACAGGAUGUGUUUUAAAAUGUUGGUUCAUGCACCAGCAAAUAUUAUUCAUAAUUUUUCAUAUUGGUCAAGUAUUCAUUAUUGCAUUAAAGGGGAGUUAUUUGAAGUUUAUGAGGAAGUAGUUUUUAUUCAGUUAUUGUAUUUCUUAUCUUUAUUUCCUUAGUUUAUGUAUAGAUCCCUUGAGGUAUGAGUGGGGUGUGAGGUCUAGAGUUUAGUUUAAGGAUGGUAAUUUUCCCUAGGGCCUUGUUAGAGGAUUUGCCUUGUAAGAGUACUAUCAUUGUUCAUCUCAGUUCAUAUUUCUAUUUCCUAUCAUAUUUCUGUUCGUGUGUUUCCCUUUUUGUGGUUGCUGUGUUUUAUGACUUAUGCUUCUAAUGUGGACAUAUUAGCAAGUGCAUUUGGUGGAUCCGCCUUUCACUCCGUGACAGCUGAAAAUGAAAGAUCUAUAACAGAAACUAGAAAAACUCUAGUAUGAGUGUGAACUCUGAAGCAAGUGUUUUUAGUGAGAAAACUAAGUCAGGGCGAAGCUCCAAACUGUAAAUAUGAGCUGCUAAGUUGGUGCACCAGAAACCCUGCUCCUGUCAUAUUCAUUUAUCUUGUGUUGGAAUUUACUCAUGCUUUGAUCAUGACAAAGAAGACUAACUUAUGACCUUUAAUGUUACUAGUUACUGAAAAGAAUAAGUUGGAACCUUUAACGAUGACAUUAGAUUUGAACUAUUAUAAUCACAAACCUCCAGAGUUUACUUUCAGCUAUGACACUCUUAUUUGGAUGCUAAGACUUCUGAAUCAACUCCUCUCUCUAGAGAUUAGCUGGAUAAGGUUUUUUUUCUGAUGCUCAUUAUUUGUUAUGUAGUAUCAGUUACAUGCCUUUGAAGUCACUAAAUGAUCAACAUACUGAGGUGAUAUAUAAUUGGUUUCUCACCUUACACACACAAGAGGGAGAGAGAUCCAAAAGGAUGUAAAAGACUGAAAUCAAGCUUAAGAUGCAGCACUCCCUAGAAAACUAAGGGCGCAAACACGGUAAAGACAGAAGACGCACGAAUUUUGACUGCUUAGGUUUUAUCUAUGCAUUGCAGAACUCUCUUCAACCCUAAAAAAUCGUACCUCGAGAAAUGCACACGGUUCAUUUGUAUCAGCGAUAUGCUGAAAGUGGAAUGCUUUCACGAGUCCAAAGGCUCUGGCAAUCUCCAAAAGCUGAAAAGAGCACUAAAAAAUUAGUGAGAUACGACAUAAUAAAACAAAAUAAGUUUGAUAGAAAACAAGAUUACAUGUUAGUUUACCAUUCUAGAAGACAAUAGUUUCGAUAUGCCACCAACAAAGAUCAGAAAAGUGAAACAAAAGCUUGUAUCUUAUUAUGUUCCAGCUUUCCUUCUCUCUCCCUUUAAUUCUAAUCCAUGUUCUAAUUCUUUGAAGUAACAUCAUAUUACUUAUGCCCUUACAACUUGCAGUUCAAUCCUGAUGAUUCAUUGUCUGAAUUAGAGCUAGAAGAAUUAUUGGAAGAUAUAAGGUUGGAGUGUUCCAGGGUGACAUAACUAAAGAUUUAGUGAGUUCAGUGUACUUUUUGUUUUUGCUCACAUACUUUUCUUAAAUUUCUUUAUACUGUAGGUUUGGUAUGGUGAGAUCUAUAAAUGUUGCCAAGAAAACAAAUGUUGUUGGCACCAUGGAAUGUAACGAGGUAAGUAACACGAGUGCUGCUACUGAUGCAUAUGGCUUUCAGUUUGCAAAUAGGAGCCGUAGGGACGAACAACCUAGUGAGAGUACUUCUAGGCUUAGAGAUUCUGAGAAAUCGGAACCUCUGGAUGAUGCCCCAGAUGAACUGAUGUGAUAAUAUUGCUGUCUCAUCUGAUGUGUCAAGUGGACCACUUGAUCCCGAGAAUAUAACUAGGUUCAGUGUGGUUGAUGAAUGCUUGCCUAAUGAGAUAACUGCUGGCAAUAAUACAAGAGAUGAAGUGUGUGAACUACCUUUGAAUGGUGAAGAUGCUUCUUUCAAAGAACCCCCAAGCCAAUCAAUCCAUGAAGAAUUUGGUAACCAACUAAAUAAUACAGAUACUGAGCUGAUAAGCAAUAAUUCAAGUUCGACUUCUGUGGUGAACUAUGAACUUCAAACCAAACCUUCUACCGAAGACUUGAAAUCAGAAGAGCAUGAUGCAAAACUACAAAGUUCUUUGGAAGCGUUGGAAAUAGAAGAGAGAAACAAAUCGGUAAAUGUUGAGUUGGACAUGAUUGACAGAAUUCAAUUGGAUGCUCCGGGGGAAGGUGACAGAAAUGAUGCUUUUGUGGAUCCUGGGCAUAUCUUUGAGCCUGGCUCUGUAAUUGUAGAAUAUCGAAGACUGGAAGCUGCUUGUAUGGCCGCACAUUGUCUACACGGACGUACAUUUGAUGGCCGUGUUGUGACUGUGGAAUACGUUGGUCAUGACUUGCACCAGAUGAGAUUCUGCAGGUAAGAAUGAUAUGGGCAUUGCUAGUUGAUGGUGCGGAACUGAUGGCGAGAAGCAAGCUUUUUCGCGCCGUUAAUAUGUUAUGUUGUUCUUCUAGUGCGAGUGCCAUUUGAACAUUACUCAGUAUAGCCAUCUGCAUUACUAAGUAGAGAAUGGUUGGCACCGGAAAGUGGGACAUGUUUGGUUAGACUGUUAUGUAAAACACUACACAUUUUCUUCAUUAAUAGUUUUUCCUAGAAGAAGAUGAUGCCAUUAUUGUUGCAUCUGUAA